rnacentral:rRNA from 1 species
GACAGAGGUGCCAAGCGUUAGGCGGAAUCACUGGGCUUAAAGCGUGUGUAGGCGGGUGCCUAAGUACCUUGUGAAAUCCCACGGCUCAACCGUGGAACGGCUGGGUAUACUGGGUGCCUUGGGUCAUCCAGGGGCUGCCGGAACAAAUGGUGGAGCGGUGAAAUGCGUAGAGAUCGGGAGGAACACCAAAGGCGAAGGCAGUGUCCUGGGGAGUACCUGACGCUCAGGUGCGAAAGCCAGGGGAGCGAACGGG